GUCCCCUUCGUCUAGAGGCCCAGGACACCGCCCUUUCACGGCGGUAACAGGGGUUCGAAUCCUAGGGGGGGACGCCA
rnacentral:tRNA from 1 species